rnacentral:tRNA from 1 species
GUUAUUUUGGCAGAGUAGUGCAAUAGAUUUAGAUUCUAUAUAUGUAGUUUAAAUUACAAAUAACA